rnacentral:rRNA from 1 species
AUUGAACGCUGGCGGCAUGCUUUACACAUGCAAGUCGAACGGCAGCACGGGCUUCGGCCUGGUGGCGAGUGGCGAACGGGUGAGUAAUAUAUCGGAACGUACCCAAGAGUGGGGGAUAACGUAGCGAAAGUUACGCUAAUACCGCAUACGAUCUAUGGACGAAAGCGGGGGAUCUUCGGACCUCGUGCUCCUGGAGCGGCCGAUAUCUGAUUAGCUAGUUGGUGAGGUAAAGGCUCACCAAGGCGACGAUCAGUAGCUGGUCUGAGAGGACGACCAGCCAACCUGGAACUGAGACACGGUCCAGACUCCUACGGGAGGCAGCAGUGGGGAAUUUUGGACAAUGGGCGCAAGCCUGAUCCAGCAAUGCCGCGUGAGUGAAGAAGGCCUUCGGGUUGUAAAGCUCUUUUGUCAGGGAAGAAACGGCUGUGGCUAAUAUCCAUGGCUAAUGACGGUACCUGAAGAAUAAGCACCGGCUAACUACGUGCCAGCCGCCGCCGUAAAAC